CUUGGGGGUGGGGGGGUCCCUCAGCUCAGAUUGCGAGAGGGCACAGGCCAGGCCAAGGGACCCCACUGGUGCAUG
rnacentral:pre_miRNA from 1 species